UGGGGAAUUUUGGACAAUGGGCGCAAGCCUGAUCCAGCCAUACCGCGUGAGUGAAGAAGGCCUUCGGGUUGUAAAGCUCUUUCAGACGGAAAGAAACGGUUACGGCUAAUACCCGUGACUAAUGACGGUACCGUAAGAAGAAGCACCGGCUAACUACGUGCCAGCAGCCGCGGUAAUACGUAGGGUGCGAGCGUUAAUCGGAAUUACUGGGCGUAAAGCGUGCGCAGGCGGUUUGGUAAGACAGAUGUGAAAUCCCCGGGCUUAACCUGGGAACUGCAUUUGUGACUGCAUUGCUGGAGUACGGAAGAGGAGGGCGGAAUUCCCGGUGUAGCGGUGAAAUGCGUAGAUAUCGGGAGGAACAUCAGUGGCGAAGGCGGCCCUCUGGUCCAGUACUGACACUCAAGUGCGAAAGCGUGGGAGCAAACAGGAUUAGAUACCCCAGUAGUCCCUGAGCGGGCUGGCAAGGCGCAU
rnacentral:rRNA from 1 species